AGUACCUCGGCUGCAGCAGCUCCAGUUAGACAGUUGGUGGUCGCACGCGAAAUAGUGAGGUUCGAGUCCGGAGUGCCUGCCAAGUGACCUGCUGCCAGAUUGUUAGGAUAUUAAAAGCGCGGGAGAAUAACCAUUGCCGACCAGGCAAGGAGAGACUACGUUGUGCUACGAGCAGGUCGCCAGGAAUGAUGUCCUUUUCUUUUAAAGGUUGUCUGACAUCUGCUCCGGUCUGACGUAUCCUUCGGUUGAUGAGACGAGAGUUCGUAGUUUUCUUCAUUAAUAUUAAAAUUGCCAGGAUUGCCGAGCAGGCAAAAAGGGACUACGCUGUGCUACGGGCAGGUCGCCAGGAAUGAUGUCCUUUUCUUUUAAAGGUUGUCUGACAUCUGCUCCGGUCUGACGUAUCCUUCGGUUGAUGAGACGAGAGUUCGUAGUUUUCUUCAUUAAUAUUAAAAUUGCCAGGAUUGCCGAGCAGGCAAAAAGGGACUCCGCUGUGCUACGGGCAGGUCGCCAGGAAUGAUGUCCUUUUCUUUUAAAGGUUGUCUGACAUCUGCUCCGGUCUGACGUAUCCUUCGGUUGAUGAGACGAGAGUUCGUAGGUUUUCUUCAUUAAUAUUGGGUGGUAAUUAAUAAUUAGGUGUGUCGUCCGGACGGCACCCUGCAUCAGUGACGCUGGACGGGAUCUCGCCGAAAUUCCGAGGUUGUUCUGACCGGGCGGUGUGUUUGCGGGCUGCGCUUAUCCAAACGACGUACAACUCGCCGAGACG